rnacentral:piRNA from 1 species
UAGACAGAGUGGACCUUGAACUGGUUUU